CCGAUCGAGGUAAAUUUCGUACCCCCGACUCGUUUUUCCACGCUGAUUCCUCCUGUGGCCAAAUCGGAGCCAAAAUCCUGGCCAAACGGCCGAAAUACACGGCCGAAGACCAGCGGCGCCGCCGCGCCCCUUCUCGGUUUUUGCCUCCGAUGAGGCCCUUCCCGGCCUCCGUUUGAUGCAAUUUUAAUAUCACCGUGAUCACCAUUCUUUUCUCUACAGGUU
rnacentral:lncRNA from 1 species